rnacentral:rRNA from 1 species
GACGAACGCUGGCGGCGUGCCUAAUACAUGCAAGUAGAACACACAGUUUAUACCGUAGCUUGCUACACCAUAGACUGUGAGUUGCGAACGGGUGAGUAACGCGUAGGUAACCUGCCUGGUAGCGGGGGAUAACUAUUGGAAACGAUAGCUAAUACCGCAUAAUAUUGAUUAUUGCAUGAUAAUUGAUUGAAAGAUGCUAUUGCAUCACUACCAGAUGGACCUGCGUUGUAUUAGCUAGUAGGUGAGGUAACGGCUCACCUAGGCGACGAUACAUAGCCGACCUGAGAGGGUGAUCGGCCACACUGGGACUGAGACACGGCCCAGACUCCUACGGGAGGCAGCAGUAGGGAAUCUUCGGCAAUGGACGAAAGUCUGACCGAGCAACGCCGCGUGAGUGAAGAAGGUUUUCGGAUCGUAAAGCUCUGUUGUAAGAGAAGAACGGGUGUGAGAGUGGAAAGUUCACACUGUGACGGUAUCUUACCAGAAAGGGACGGCUAACUACGUG